UACGGGGGGAGCAAGCGUUGUUCGGAUUUACUGGGCGUAAAGGGCGCGUAGGCGGCAGCACAAGUCAGUUGUGAAAUCUCCGGGCUUAACUCGGAAAGGUCAACUGAUACUGUGCGACUAGAGUGCAGAAGGGGCAACUGGAAUUCUCGGUGUAGCGGUGAAAUGCGUAGAUAUCGAGAGGAACACCUGCGGCGAAGGCGGGUUGCUGGGCUGACACUGACGCUGAGGCGCGAAAGCCAGGGGAGCGAACGGG
rnacentral:rRNA from 1 species